rnacentral:rRNA from 1 species
UACAGAGGGUGCAAGCGUUGUUCGGAAUUAUUGGGCGUAAAGGGCGCGUAGGCGGCGCGACAAGUCACCUGUGAAAUCUCCGGGCUUAACUCGGAAAGGUCAACUGAUACUGUGCGACUAGAGUGCGGAAGGGGCAACUGGAAUUCUCGGUGUAGCGGUGAAAUGCGUAGAUAUCGAGAGGAACACCUGCGGCGAAGGCGGGUUGCUGGGCCGACACUGACGCUGAUGCGCGAAAGCCAGGGGAGCGAACGGG